UGGAAUUGUCCAGGGUUAUUGACAGGGCGGUGGAGCACUGCUAUGGUUAGCUUUUCCCUGUUGUCUUGGUUGGCCAAGUACACAGUGCUUCCUGCUGGAAUUCUUACCACAACUCCAGGAGCUACAUUGUAUGACUCUUUGUUUUCAUGUGUCACGAACGUAAUUGUUCCUCUUCCUGAGAAAGUAAAUAGUUUACCAUGUUUUAGUUAAUGGUGAUAUAUUAUAUAUGUUAAUAAAAGGGAAGAGCAAAAAUAGAGUAUUCACCGUUAGUGACAACGUAAAUUUUCUCCGCGUCACAAUGGUGUGGGAGAACGAAAGUGUUGGGGUUUGCUUCUAAAAUGGCAAUGCGGAACUCGUUGAUGCCCCUAAGUAAAUGAUGUUUGGCAGCAAACCUCUGGAGGACUCUGAAAUUGCCAUGUUCUUCCCUGAAUCGUUCUUGGAACGAUCUGCGAUGGAAGUAGUAAGGGUUGUUCCUUUGUUGUUGCUCUCCUUCGUCACUUUCCUCCUCUUCUUCUUCUCUCCACUUGUUUUCUCUCUCUCCCUUCCAUGGAUCCUCUUGGUACUGUUCCCUGCAUUCCUUCACACAUUGUUGCUUCCGUUCGGGCCCUUGCUCUUGCCGUUGGCAACGGUGUUGACACUCCUUGAAUCGCUUGUCAGGCUGCUGCUGCUGUUGUCUCUCGUAUUGUUCCUGGCAGCUUUGUUCGCACUGUGGACGCAGCCUUCUUUCUUCCUGUUGGCAGUGUUGUCGGCAAUCCUGGUAUCUCCUCUGAGGAUCGUCUCCGUCACGCUGCUGCUCCUCCUUAAACUGCCUUUCACACCUGUCUUCACACUUGUCUUGCUCCGUUUGUCCACGUGUCUCCGACUGGCAUCGCCUCUGGCAGUCCUCGUACCUCUGUCGAGGAUCAUCCUCGCUUCUUCUGCCGGGGAAGUCUUUGGCAGAGCAAAGCAAGCCAAAGGAAAGGAAAAGAGAAAAGAGCAAAACUACGAAAACUGACUUGUUCCUCACCAUGAUUACCAUAAGUACUGUAUUUUUUUUAGUGUACGAUGGUAGUGGCAAAGACUGGUAAUGUAUUUAUAGAAGAUGGAACUGUGGAAGGUGAUAUUUUUGCAUGCAAAUCUCCAUCAACGUGUUGAAGACAUUGACAUGCAAGGUGACGAGUGUGCAAAUUAAAGAAGACAAAAUAUUUUGAGUCUUUUUUUAUAGAGAUGCCACAUCCCUUCACGUGGUACGGUCAGGGUUCGGACAAGCUUUGUUGCAGAGGGGAAUCAUGGUUGUAUAUCUGUAACUGGAAGUGGCGAAGUGAUAAUGCUUUGACAGUAGAGUGGUGGACCGAGUUGUCGUUUGUGUCAACUCAAGUGACUUUAAAGAGUGUAAAAAGUGGGAUGUGGCUGUUUUAUGAGGUGAAUUAGAGAUGAGUUGAUGUCCCGAUUCACUGAGUUAUAAGGUUGAUUUGGUUUUUAUCUGCACUUGGGCAGAAUGGAGGACAGCUCAAGUGCACACAUGUUGCUGUGCAUGGUGAUGACUGAUGAAUUGCUUGAGAUAUGAACGAAUUAAGAUAUGUACAUAGAGACUAUUUCAAUUCAAUAUAAUCUAAUUGUAUAAAUUCACGCUACUGAAAUUAAAAACUAAGAUAACACGUCACAUGUUGAAAAAUAAAAAUGAAUUUUAAAAUAAAGGCAUACUUAUACCUGGUUUUUUUUGAGAGAGAAGUUACGAGUAGAAACAAAAAUUAUAUUAAAAUAAAAUUUUAAAAUUAUUUAUUUAUUGAUGAUGUGUUUAUAAUUAUCUUUACUAAAAGUGUAAUAUGUGAUUAGAAGAAGUGAUAGCGGAUAUUUAUGAAGUUGCGAUGACUUUUUUAUUAUUGUAUCAUGUGAUUAAAAUUAGAAUAUUUAUCUUAUCAAACAAAUGUGAUUAGUGCGUCUUAAACCUUGAACACUUUAACUGUAAGACUAACACAUUGUUUAUUCAUUGCAAUACUUGUUAGUUAAUAGCAUGAUUGAUUAUAAGCCAGAUAGGGAAUUAUAUUAUGUGGAUGUAUAAUAUAUUCUACAUUGACCUCACUUGUGUGUGUUUGUCUGCUAGAAUUAAAUCUCUCAAUUUUUAAUGAUAUUAAUAAAUUAAACAAUAUGUGCUUCAUUUUAAGAUUAUUUGUUAAAAAAGAGAAAUAAUCAAAUAGUUUCAUCUUGAUAAUUGAAAAAGUAAGAAAAGAUAAAUUAUUAGGCACUUUUUUUAUAAUUAUAACCAAUUUAUUGUAAAGUAUAAAAAUUUAUCUUUACAUGGAUGAUUAAAUUAUGAAUAAAAACUGAUAUUUUAUCUUUAACUAGAUUUUCAUUAUAUUAGUUUUUCAAAUUUAUUUAUGAUUAUUAUUUUAAUCAUUUUAUAUUUUAAUUAUGAUUUUCAUUAUAAGUAUAAAAAUUAAAAGUUGAUGGCUAAAAAAACUCAAGAAUACAAUUAAGACCAUUUUGAUAAAAGAUGUAAAUAUUAGUGAUUAAAUUUAUCAUUAAGAAAAAGUCAUAAUGGUUUCUUUUAAUAUUAUGAGUUCAAUGUCACUUUAACUAUCCCAUGGAGGUAAUCAACUGCGCAAUACAUAAUCAUAAUGCCUACAACGGGGCCUUGCAGACGAAUGUCACCUUACAGACUACCUCGCGAGCAGAAUCAACGGUUCACACAACAAAUAUCUCGAUUCACAACACAUCUCCUCAAGACAGAAAUUAUCCCGCAGACCACCUAACAUUCUCCUUCAAAUACAAUCACCAAGGUUCACUGUACGACGCAGCAGCAACACUUACCACUGACAGCCCUUAUCCACUAAUUUUGCUACGUCCUUACAACACUUCAACCAAACUCACUGCAAAUUACUAUUUAUCAGACAAUUACUAUGUCAUCUCCAACGGCUCCGGAUUUCAACAUGUUUGUAUACCCCCCAAACAGGAAGUGGCGCAGGUACCUCCUUGGCCAAGUUUAUGUCCAUCGGAAGUUACAACCAAUACUCGCAGAUAUCAAACACCUGCAAAACGGGAUCUGAUUAUACGUACAAGAGGAACGAUACCCACUCCAUGCAACAGUCAACAGGUUGGCAUAUUGUUCAGCACUUUCCAGAUUCUCCAAGUCGUGGUCAACGUAGCCUGGAACUUGUUUCUUUGACUUGAAGUUUACCAAAAAAAAAUACCACUUUAACUAUAUAUAUUAAAAGAAUUUGAUUCAAUCCUAUCAAAAUUAAUUUGUUUAAUUUUUUUUAUAAAUGAGAAUGAGAAUAAAGUUGUUUGAGAUCGAAUCCAAUCUUUUAUAUAAUUUACAACAUAAUAUUUUUAUUAUUAGGUCAAGAGAUUAUCGGUAAAAUGACUUAUUUAACUAAAUUUCGCUUUCCUUAGCAAUGCAAGUUCAUUUUCAUUACAAAAUGGAAAUUUUUUCUCUUGAUAUUAUACCAUAUCUUGAGCAUGAAAGUUACUGAAAAUUAAACUUGUUUAAUUAAAUCAAUUAUAUAUAUAAGAAAAGAAAGAAAGGCAAAAGUGAUGAAUAAAAAAACUUCAAUGGAGCAUUGGGGAUAAUAAAAGAAAAAUAUAUCUUAAAACAAGGUUAAUUUUGUAAUAAUAAACACUAGUUAACCCAUUGGGGCAUUUACCUUCGUUGCAUUUGAUGAAACUCACCUCAUUGGUGAAAUUCGAAGGGAGCUAAAACCUCCGGUUGGAAUUUUUUUGUCCAGAAAGUUGUGCGACAAACUAGCAGAUUGGAGGGAUUAUUGUUGUACCCAAAAUAUGUGGGUUUAGACCUAGAGUCAAAACCACCGGCUCAAGUCCAAAUAGCAAUAAAAGGCCCAAGCAAUAAGUAGGCUAGCCAAUUACUAAAUGACCCAUAAAGGGUUACUUGCUCAUUUAAUGAAAACGAACCUGACCUUACCCCUAUAGAGCUUGAGAGUUGGUAUAAGCAUCCUCCUCAUGUCUUCAUGCAAGAAGCUUUUCAUAAGCUCCAUUCGACUUAAACUCAAGCUGUUGAACAAGAUAGAAAGGGAUCUAACAACCCUAUAAUAGAAUGUAGCUAAUUCACCAAUCAAAUAUAACGGUUAGAUCUAAACACGAGAGCGGGUAGCUCCACAAAAAUAUUACAAAAUCUAUAAAUGCUCACAAUCAAAUAUUAUAAAAUUUUCCCCUUUCUCAAGGUUGAAAAUUUUGGUAUUAGUAUAAUUUUUAGAGACACUAACAACAUCAAAUCAAAUGAAAUAAUACUAAUUAAUUACUUAAGUACUUAACGUUUUAUUCCUUAACAUAGAAAGACAAAAAAGGCACUCAAAAAGUUCAUACAAGUUAUUGCACUACAAAACAAGGGUCUCCUCCUUUACAUAGGUCACCAUUUUUAUUUCAUUACAUGCCUGCUUAAAACUAGAAAAUUUCACAUUAGUCCGUAAACACGAGACUAUGUGGUUAUUAUUGCCUCUAACUCUUUAUUCAGAUGCACGCUGCCUCUGUCGAGACACGAAGUAAGACUCUUGUGGGUUGUUGUUGAAUAUCUCAUCCACCAACCUCGAUGACACCCCAAAGGCCAACUCCUUGGCUUGGCUAUCCCAUUGUCUCACAUGGUUGAUUUUCCCAGCCACGAAGAUCCUCUGGUUAUGGUCUGGGUUAAUGUUCUGGUUGUAAAGACCGAACCCAGUCAUCCGCAGGUUCUGGUUUUGGGAUGCAACGAAUGUAACUGGGAAGUUUGCUGGGACUACAAAUAUGUCUCCACGCGACAACUGGGACCUUAUUUUCCUGUAUUGCCCACUUCUCCUUUCCUCUUCUUGUUCUUGUUCUUGUUGUUGUUCUUCUUCUUCUUCAUAUGAGCUUUGCCUAGGAAGAUGAGGAGAAACCAUUUCAACGUAUCCAUUUCCUUCGUUAACAAGGACCACGAAUGUAGCCUUUGAAUUGUAGUGCGGCACAAAGAUUGAUCCCUACAAAAAAAGGAUUUGAUUUUGGUUAGUAUAAUGAUGGAAAUUAGAGGGAAAACAAAGGGUGAUUUGGUUUUAAGUACUUGGUUUAAUUGCAAGGCUGAAACGGUGACAUUGAUGUCCCUGAGUUGCCGGAAUUCACGUGGGCAAGCCUCAUAGAAGCGGCCGUUUUGGUUGGAGUAGCGAGGGGUUUGGUACAAUAAGUUGAAGGCGAAUCUCUCGCCACUUUUCUCCCUUGGAGAAGUGGCUUCUUGGCUCAAUGCCCUUAUUUGUUCUUGGCUGGCUUUACGGAACAUUCCCUGUCCCUGCUGCCUUCGGUGGCUUUGCCUCCCACCAAACAGCUCGUCUAGCUGCUCACUUCGUGUCUGAUACAACACAACAUGAAUGAAUCAAUGAAUAAUCAAGUUUUAUUAAAAAAAGUUGAUUAAUUAGUUCAAAGAGCAAUACAUUGAAGGCAGGCUCAAGAAUUUCACGACUAAAGGCUCGGAGAUAUGACUGAGGGCGUUGGCUUCCAGCUGGGAAGAAUUCCUGCAGCAAAAAUAUAAGUAAAUAUCUAUAUAACUAAAACCAAACAAGUUUGUAAAUGUUUUAAAAAUGUAGGAACCUCGAAUUGUCCAGGGUUAUUAACAGGGCGGUGAAGCACUGCUAUGAUUAGCUUUUCCUUGUUGUCUUGGUUAGCCAAGUACACAGUGCUUCCUGCUGGGACUCUGACUACAACUCCCGGUACUACAUUGUAAGACUCUUUGUUUUCAUGUGUCAAGAACGUAAGCGUUCCUCUUCCUGUGAAAGUAAACAGUUUACCAUGUUUUAGUUAAUGGCGUUAUACUAUAUAUGCUAAUAAAGGGAAGGGGAAAUGGAAGAAUGUUCACCGUUGGUGACAAGGUAAAUUUUCUCAGCGUCACAAUGGUGUGGGAGAACGAAAGUGUUGGGGUUUGCUUCUAAGAUAGAUAAGCGGAACUCAUUGAUGCCCCUAAGAAUAGGAUGCCUUGAAGCAAACCUUUGGAGGACCCUGAAAUUGCCAUGUUCUUCCCUGAAUCGAGAUUGGAAUGAUCUGCGAUGGAAGUGGAAAGGGUUAUGGCUUUGUUCUUGCUCUCCUUCUUCAGUUUCCUCCUCUUCUGCUUCUUCUUCUCUCUCUCUCCUCCAUGGAUUCUCCUGGUACCUUUCCCUGCAUUCCCUCACACAUUGUUGCUUCCUUUCCGGCCUUUGUUCUUGCUGGUGGCAAUGUUGCUGACACUCCUGGAAUUGCCUCUGGGAUUGUUGUUGUUCUUGCUCGAAUCGUUUCAAGCACCUUUGUUGGCAUUGUGGUCGUUGCCUUUCUUCUUGUUGUCGGCAUUCUUGCUGACACUCCUCGUAUCUCCUCUGGGGAUCUUCAGGGCGGUGGCGCUGCUGUUGAUCUUUCUCCCCAUACUGACUUUUACAACUUUCUUCACACUGCUGUUGCUCCUUUUGUCCACGUGUAUCCCAUUCGCAUCGCCUCCGGCAGUCCUCGUACCUCUUCGGAGGAUCAUCGUCGCCUCUUCUUCCGGGAAAGUCUUUGGCAGAACAAAGCAAGCCAAAGGAAAGGAAAAGAGAAAAGAGCAAAACUACGCAAGCUGACUUAUUCCUCACCAUGAUUACGAUAAGCUCUGUAUUUUGUUACUGUGUGAUGGUAAUAGCAAAGAGUGGUAAUGUAUUUAUAGAAGGUGGAGCUGUAGAAGGUGAUAUUUUUGCAUGCAAAUCUUCAUCAACGUGUUGAAGACAUUGACAUGCAAGAUGACGAGUGUGCAAAUUAAAGAAGACGAAAUAUUGUCUCUUUUUUUUUGUAUAGUGGUGGGUAGAUAUCGAGAUGCCACAUCCCUUCACAUGGUACUAGCAAGGUUCGGACAAACUUUGUUGCAGGGGGGUUCAUGGUUGCAUCUGUAACUGGAAGGGGCGAAAUGAUGAUGCUUUAACAGCAGAAAGAUGAUGGACCGUGUUGUGUUGUAUGUGAACUCAGUUGAAUUCAAAGAGUGUUGAAACUGGGAAGGGUUUUAAAGUGAGACAGAGAUGUCCCGAUUCACUGAGUUAAGGGUUGAGUUGAUAGAGGACAAGUCAAGUGUACACAUGUUGCUGUGCAUGGUGAUGAUCUAUGAGUUGCAGGAGAUAUGAACAAAUUCAGAUAUGUAUACUUUUGGUAUCCUGUACGUUUGAUGCUCAUACAAAUUAGUCCUUUCAAAGUUUGAGGUAUUUUUAUUCUUUUUCAAUAAUAUUAUCUAAGUAUUACAUAUUAUAUCAUUAUAUAAAUUUAUAUAAUAAGAAUGGAAAAUAAAAUGUUUCACUAAAAACACUUAAAAGUAAGGAUUUGGAUUCAAUAUAGAUAAUAGUAUAUAAGUUAUACAGUCCAAUUUAACAUAAGGUGCCACGUAUUAAGAAAUAUGGUAAUUUAUUUUUUCAUAAAUUUUAAAUUAAUUAUACUUAUUUAUUAAUAAUUUUAUAUAAUCCUAACAAUAUAUUAUACUAUGUUAGUUUAUUAAAAACAAACAAGUAGGCGAGGGGCUAGGGCCAUGACUCUUUAAUUUUAGGGUAAUCUAUAAAAAUAGUCAUUUUUGUUUGCCUCAGGUUAUAUUUUAAUCAUUUAUGUUUGAAAUGUUACACUUUAGUCACUUAUGUUAUUAUUUUGUUACAAAGUGAUCACUCUACCGUUAAGCUCCGUUAUCUCUCUAACGAUAAUCCUACAUGGCAGUCCAACUAAAUUUUAGGUGCCAACUUGGAUUUCUAAAUAGGAUGAAAAUAGAUUUUUAAUUAAAAAUUUUAAUUAAUUAAAAUUUUUAAACUUAAACCUUAACUAAAAAAACUGUUCAUCUCCUCUUUUCUACUUUUCUUCCUUCUCUUCUUUUUUUCAAUGGUUUUUUUUUUCAUUUGAUUGGAAAAACUAUUAUUAAGAUCAAAAUAGUUGAAAUCAAAUUGACUGCUUUAUAAAGAUGGAUUCAAUGGAGGAUUUAGGUAUUUCCUCUUUGCAUUCCUCUAUCUUUUUUAUUCAAUACUGAAAAACAAAAGAUUGAAUUUUUUAUUGUUUAGUGAAAACCCUAAAUUAAAAUUUAAGUAUUUUUGUUCAUCAAACAACAAAAAACAAAAAACAAAAAAGAGAGAAAGAAAGAGAGAAGCUGUUCACUUUAGUACAAUUUCUGUCUCUUCAUCAAUGGUGGUUUCGGUGUAGCUUUACACAAACCCGAUACUCACCCAACCAAAUAUUCUCUCUUUUAUUUUUAUUUUUCUUUUGAUAGAAAAAUGAAAGGAAAGACCAAGUAAAAUUUUUUUCUCUUCUAAACUUCUUUGGAUUCCAAAUAAGUUUUUUUUUCUUUUCAUUUUCUUGGUUUUUAAGGGAAAAAUGGAAAACCAAAAAACCAUUGGAAAAACGAAGAGAUGGAAGAAAAAUAAAAAAGGGGAGAUGAACAAUUCUUUUUAGUUAAGGUUUAGGUUUAAAAAUUUUAAUUAAUUAAUUUUUUAAUUAAAAAUCUAUUUUCGUUCUAUUUAGAAAUCCAAGUUGGCACCUAAAAUCUAAGGCACCCAUUGAUCACUUCGUAACAAAAUAAUAACAUAAGUGACUAAAACGUAACAUUUCAAACAUAAGUGACUAAAAUGUAACCUGAGGCAAACAAAAGUGACUAUUUUUGUAGAUUACCUUUAAUUUUAUGACUAUCUUUUUAAAAUAAAAAAUCUUAAAAUUUAGGGUUAAUAAAAACAAAGUAACGUAUAUUUAUUUGGUAUUUAAAAUAUUUUUUAACUUAAUUAAUAUUUAAACUUGUAAAUCAAUUAGAUAUUUUCUUUGGAUACUGACUAAUAUCAUUAAAAUCCGUUGACAUAGUACCGGCGACCUAUAACAUAGCAACAUGUGGCAACAUGAUAUUUUGACAUGUGAUAAAAAUAAUAAAAAUUAUAGAAUUUUUUAUACAUCUCAUUUUAUACAUUUUUUUAGUAUUUUUAUAUAUUUGAACUUUUUUUAUAACAUAUUAGAUUUUUUAUAUUUUUAUUAUUAUUUUGACAUUUAAAAUAUAUAAAAUUUGAAAAAUAAAAAAAUUAUAUAUCCAAAAAAAACAAACAUCUAGUACAUAUUUCCUCAUCAAUGCUUCUGGUGCAAUAUAAUAUGGGCUACCAACAAUGUCCUUAAAUACAUCAGCUAUUCCGAAGGCACAUAGUUAAAAAAUAAAAAUAAAAAUCAACCCUAUCACGAAAAUUUUAAUGAACGGAGAUUAUUAUAUUUGCACCUGGCUUGUAAAAGAGUGUGACAGUCCCAAAUUCGUAGCCUUGAAUGGUGAAUUUUCCUCUUUGUAAUAGAAUGGCAAGUAUGGAUGAUUUGGACCAUGGUUCUAACCAAAGAAGCGGACGCACGUUGUUAUCAUUUUUAAAAAUGAUUUUUUUUAAAAAAUUUAAUUUUUGAAAAAUUAAAAUUAAAAUUAAAUUGUUAAAUUUUAUAAAUGUUGAGGGUUAAAUUUAUUAAAUUUUUAGAAUUUAAAUUAAAAUGACUAAUUUUGUAAAUAUUAAAAAUUAAAUUUGUUGAAAUUUUUAUAUUUAGGAUCAAAUUUAUAGAAUGUGUAACUAUCAGAUGAUUAAAUUUGUUAUUAGACUAAUAAAAAAAUCCACAUCAACUUCUCGUUACUCAUCUUAGGGCAACUAAAGGUAGAGUAAUUAAAAUAUUAAUUUUAAAAAGUUUAAUGACUAAAUUAAAAAAUUAAUAGUUAGGUAACUAAAAUAGAAUGAAAGAUGUAGUUAGGUGACAUUUUUGUAGUUUACUUAAAUAAUAAUAUAUUUUGUACCAACAUCAUCAUUAACGUCCACUCGAUGCAAACUAAAAUCGGGUAAUUUGGACUUGUGAAACCAAUGGGAUCCAAUUUGGACUCUCAAGGCUUUAUUAAAAAUAACUUAAACCCAUUACAUUUGAGGCCCAAUGUAUCCUAAAUUCAAUAUAAUUCACCAAUAAUGUCUUGGCAUGUAAAAAUAUCAUGAAGGCCCUUGUACUAAGUGUUAAAUUGUAUUUUUUCCUUUCUACUCAAAAAAUGGAUAAAUUAGUCCCUAUACAUUAGAUCAAGGAACAAAUUAGUCAUUUCUGUUAAAAUUUCAUCCAUUUAUACUAUUAACUAUUGACAUGAUUAACAGAAUAACCAAACAGUGAUACAUGUCAUGCCACAUGUAUUUUAUGCCAAUGAACAGGGAAUAAUUUUUAAUAAUAAAAAUGGAUGAAUUUUUUAAUAGAAUGACCAAUUUACUCUUUGAUCUAAUAUACAAGGAUUAGUUUGCUCAUUUUUUUAGUAGAAGGGGUAAAAUAAAAUCUAACUCCUAAUAUAAGAGCCGUAAGAAUACAAAUUACAUAAUUCACGUUACUACUUUAAAUGAUCUUAAUGUAAAAGUUGUCAUGCCAUUGUCGAGAGGUAUUAUGGGUUGAGUCAAAUCUAUGUAUGGUAUUAGCAUAGUUUAUUUUUAUUUAAAUUUGGCUCAGUUCAAAAUAUAAAUCACAAAUUUUUCUCAUUUCUACCCAUGUCGAUAAAUAACUGACUCAAAAGCUUGUUUUAAGCUCGUUAUAUUAUAUUUUCAAUUUUUUUAUAAAAAAUUAUUUUUAAUUCAAUAUUUAACAAUUUAGCAUUUUUGUUAAAAUUUUAAACACAGAUAACUUGCAUGUUGUUUAUUUUUUAAAUUAUAAUAUUAUAUAUUAUUGUAUUUUUUUCAAAUUCAAGUUUAAUAUUACGUCGUUUUCUUAGUUAUAUGGUUAUCGAGUAAAUUUUUUAAUUUAAAAUGUUACACCAACAAAUUUAACAAAAAAAAUUAAAACAAGGUUAACAAUUGAAUCUUAAUUUUGAAAUCUGUAAAGUUAAAAGACUAAAUUCCUAAAAAUAUAAGUAUAAAAAAUAAAUUCUAAAUUUAAAAAAAAUACAAAAACUUAACAUAUUUUAACCAUUUUUAUAUUAAUGUAAUUGGUUGGUCCUCAGUCCUCACCUCUAUGCUAUACAAGUCUUUAAAUAAGUUAGUCAAUUAACUUUAGUUCAGUAAUUACAGAAAAGAAAAAAAAUGAAAAAUAAUUAUAGAAUUUCAUAUAAAAAAAAGUGAACACCUUUUUGUACGUUAAUAAUAAUAAUAAUAAUAAUAAUAAUAAUGAUGAUAAUAAUUCUGUUAAAAUAUAAUUUUCAAACUUUUUUUGCACUUAAUGCAACCUAUUUUUAUGUAAUAUAAUUCACAUUUGAUUCCUUUUUACAUGUAUAAUAUAUAUACUAUAUAUAUAGAUAUAGAUGAUUCUUUCUUUUAAUAAUUUUUUUUUCUCUUCACGUAAGAACCCUACAACCCAAUUUCAGUAAGAAAAAAAAACGACAAAACCCUAGCAAAUCCUAACACUUCAAUGGCCUCAAGACGUUCAAAGGUUAUUCGUUCAUCGAGCCAAGGCGAAAUAGGUCUGUUUAAUCAGAUAAUUGCAAUAGACUCUCCAACUCCAAUAUCGAAUCGGCUGACACCGGCCCAUUCAGCUGUAAGAAGAGCACCGAACACGGUUCCAAUGCAGCAACCAAGAACCGCGGUUCCAAAAAAACAGCAGCUGCCAAAGAAGACAAUAUUUAUGUUGGGGUCACCCGAAAGAAGAAGAGAGAUAAAAAAGGACGAAGGGUUCGGGAUCUUUUUUCAGAAUUGUUCCUUGUGCAAGAAGAAACUCAAACCGGAUAAAGACAUUUAUAUAUAUGGGUACGUUAGACACGAUUUUUUACCAUGAGUGUUGGAUAUUCGGGUUUAUUAGUUUAUAUUUACAGUAUAAAGUGAAACAUUGUUUGAUGAUUGCAGCUACCUAGGCGCAUUCUGCUCCAUUGAUUGCCGAGAUGAUCGAAUAGCUUUGGACGGUAUCGACAAUGAAGUUGUUCCCAAUUUACCAAUAAACAUGAGACCCUCAAAGAGAUUUUGAACCACAAAUUUGACAUUUUCCUGAUAUGUAUCGGAUACAAAUAUUCAGUUUUUUUUAAAAGCUAUCAUCGUAUCGAAAUUCGAAUUCGUGCCGAAUAGAUUUGAAAUAAAAAAAAAGGGUGUCCUGAUUAAGCAACAAGAAUUGUCUGCUAUAGCUGAAUAUUACAGAGGGAAUGUAAGAGCUAUUCAUUGGUAUGGUCUCCAUUGCAAGAGACAAAGGAACAUGCUUUUGCCAGUCAAUGCCCACUAACAAAAAAGGGUUACUUUCAGAUUAUAUAACCAAAAGAAUCUAACCAUAUAACUUGGUCUGACCCCAUUGGAGAUAAUUAUAUAUUAAACUUCCUUUUAAAACCUUAGAUUAAUAUAUACAGAGAAAGAAUAAUAGGUUCAGAAGGAAAAAAAGAAGCCUUAAAAUCAUGAGUUUGCCAAUAUAAUUUGUCAGGUACAUGAACUGUCAUGUUCUUUUUUUUUUUGUUUCUUUCAUUAUAUCAGUUGCAGGUUCUGAUACUUUUACACCGAAAAGUUCAUCACAGUAUAAUUAGAAGACAUGUUGGUUUUAGGUAUUUGAUUCUUUUAUACAAGAAAACAGUUGGUACUGUUUGAUUGUUUCAGUUCAACAUUCUGAAGAAUCUGAACAAAGAAUUAUUAUAGAAUAUUGCAGGUUGUAACACCUUUUUUUAAGGACAAGAAUAUAACAAUGAGGGCUCCGUUUUAGGGCUUUUUUAUUGUGAUAUUUACUGUUGUUGAUACAAGUAAUUAACAAGGAGGGAAAGAUGGUGAGAAAGAGUGUAGGACAUGGAGGAGGAGAAGGUUGUUGCGUAGGGCUUUCAGAGAAAAAAGGAGCCAACCUGUUAGUCUCUCGUGCAUUUAGGCUUAUAUAGGAGGUCACCUUUUAUCCUUUAUGAUUGGUGUCACAUAAUCGAUAAUAUGAUGUCCGGUAAAAUUGUGCAUGUUAAUUAGAUGAUAAUGCAGUUACAAGUCAAUUGUCAUCAUAAAGUGUAUUGAGUGAUUUUGCUCUUAUAUAUUCAUUUUUGGGUUACAAGGUUAUUAUGGCUUUAUGGUCUCUAUGGAAUGCAUAGCAAGCUGUCUUUUGGACAGGAUAAUCAAGAGUUCAUCCGCGGAAUGUCUUACAUAAAAGGUCACUACGGACAAUUACUUAUGAAGAGUUGCACACAAAUAACAAAAAAUUGUCUAAAGAAGAUUCAUGUCUUGUCACGUGUCAUGUUGAAAUGAGUAUAUAAAUGUGACAAAACAAAAACCCACACUAUCCUAAAAUCAAUCCCAUUGGUAGCUUGACCAAAAAGUAAUAGAAUUAAUUCCAUUUUAAUGAACAAACAGUGGCCAGAAUCUGGUGAAUUUGCUUGGAAUUAAUAAAUAACCGACCUGAAGGCAACUCCUUCAGUUUUAAAGUGACUAUUCACUGAUAAGGUUUCUCCCUUUGAUAGCUUUCAAGUGAACAUAUAUACCUUUCUUUUUCUGCAAUUCUUUUUCUUCGUCCCUUCUUUGACCGUAUUUGGAAUAGAAUGCACAUGCAUUUUACAUACACCAUUUGGCCCCCUACCCCCUUUUUUCAUCUUAAAUACUCAUUAUACUCGGAUUUCGGUAUUAACCCGAAUACGAACAUAAGUCCAACAUCGAUAUGUCAGACUUUUUUUCAAAUUUUUUUCAUUGCUUAUUUGUGAGAUUUAAGACCUGCAAUAAUGGUGUACUAAAAAUGACCUAUAAUAUAAAAGUGAUUGGAAUAUUCCCCACUUUUUCUUUUUGGUAGAAAAGCCCCCACUCUUGUUUUUUACUUUAUCUACAUUCCAGACAGGUAAGAACAAACUAAUAAUAUGGUCAAUCAACAUAUAUAUAUAUACUCAUGGCUUCCAUAUAAACCUGCCAAGCCUGCAAAUCUGUCUGCUGCUUUUUUCUGGUUUCAUACACCACAGCAAUAUGCAAAAAAAGUAAAAGUAAAAAAAGAAUGAUAGUGCUAUUAGAUUAUCAAUGAAACCAACUUUUCUCAGUAAAAUCAUUAGCAAAAGCAGCAUGGAGAAGAAACAAAGCAUAUUCUGAUUCUAUUUUUUUCACUUUUGUUUUUUCUCUUUACAUUUAAUUCUUCUAUCACUUUGGUAAAAAUCCAUAAAACCCUUUACUUCUCUUUGCAUUUAAAACAAAAAGUUAACAAACAUAUAAUGAUUAUAUAUUUGACCAUACUUUCAUCUUUUCUUUAGUUCAUCAAAAGAAUAUUUCCCCUAAAACUAAACAAAUCAUGAAUAAAACAAUCUUCAAGUACCCUCUCUCAACUUCUUUUCCUGCAAAACCAAGAAAAGGGUUACAUCAUUAUCGUAUAAGGAAGCUAAUUUUUGGCUUUCUAAGUAUGAAGAAGUAGUCAGCAGUACCUGUGGAGAUCUAUCGGAGCUUGUUUCGAGAUGGAUUAGAAGUGGACUUUUUUGUUAAUCAGUUGCAUUGAGAUUGGAAUGUUGUAAGCUGACAUCAUGUUAUGAUUGAGUUGGAAUUCGAGUUAGUUAAGUUUACACCUGAUAAACAAACAUGAAAACAAGAUUAGUCGAAGAAAUUAAGAAAUAGUAAACCAAAAAGGGAAAGAAGAAAGAAGAGAGAACCAACCUUUUUUUGGUUAGUGAGCAAAGGAACGUCUCUAUCACCCUCAAGAAUGGAUCUCCUCAAAGUGAAUUUUACCUGCACAUGGGACCAACGUUAUCAAACACUUCAAAGCUGGUUUUUUGUGUAGAUUCUCGUUAUCUAUUGUCAAGUGGCCAUGAUUCAGUUUCUAGGAAGAUAUGUUGAAGGCAAUCUUUUCCACGUUUAAAAGCUAUGGGAGUAAAGGAUUAAAGUCCAAGGACCACAAUCACAAAGGAGUCUUGAGUAUGGAUACUUGUUUUAUUUCAGACAAAUUUGAUGCAUGAGAUGGAAAAAGGAAAAGAAAAAUGCUCGAUAAGGAUUUACCUGAUUGAUUCAGAAAAAAAAAAUUAUUGCUGAGAGGUAGAAGCACAUUGAAAUUCUUGCCAAAUGAUAUUUAAGCUCCUGGUUUAAACAAUAGGAAUCACUUAAGUAAUGGUUAAAAUAUAUAAAUAGGCAUUCACGUGUAUAUGUGUGUGUGUGUGUGUAUAUAGAGAGAGAGCAUACAUUGAAUGCAGGUCGUAACCUCCUUUAGAAAAAAUUUAGCUCGGUGUAUCCAUGCGCAUACGGCAAAAGCUCCUCUACCUCAAUCCUCCUCGAACUAGAAUAACUCAUGCUCUUCUUAAGUUGACCACGGCUUGACUCAACCUCAGCCCAAAAUAUACCAUAAACCGGUCUGUGAUCUGAGAACUUAGAUUCCCCACGGACAUAAGAUAAUUGAUGAAUACCUUCUCCGUACCACAGUAUCCGGUCACACCUUCAUACAAAAAAAGUUCAAGUCAGUACACUUCUUCAGAGCUAUAGUUUUAACUACUUUAUCGUGCCAUACGGCGGAGGCAGUUUCUUACCAAGCUGGAGUUCGACAUUUCUCCUUUGGGUGCAUAGCAUCCCCUGUAUACCUAUCUGAAUUAGUUGAAUACUUGUAUGUUGGUGGGAAGUAAAUCUUUCCUUCAUGCCAUCCCUUAAAAACGCGCCCUCUUUUUUGCUCUAUCCUUAGCUGCCAAAUUAUCAUCAAUGAAAGGUUUUCCUAUUAAAUUUGACAGUAGAAUUUGUUGUACGUUAUUCAGGGCCUGUGAAGAUAUGGAGAAGUAAAAGCAUACCUGGUCAUUUUCUAACAAUGCUCUCCAGUUCUGCAUUUCAACAAGUGCCUUGGCAGACCGGUAAGAGAGAGCAAUACGAUAAUUCAAAUCCCCGAGCCAAAUUAUUCGACUGGAUUAAUAUAUAAUUAGUCAGUAUAUGCAACAAAAAAAAAAAGCAUAUGAGAACAUAAACAUUGGUAUUUUUAGCAUAUGAACCAAGUCCUUACUCAUGCUCGAGGAUUGUUUCAGGGGACUUCUCAUUAGCUUCACUAUGAACCCGUGGAAACCUCGUCUUCUUAAGAAUCUCCAUAACAUCCGAGUUUCUCCUUAGCUCAUCACCCUCCUUUUGUCCCGAAGUUAAAUGAGUGCAAAUGAAGCAAAAGCUUGUUUGAUGUACUAACAUACUGACAGAUAUAGAACCCUGGCAAACCAAGACAUAUAGGUUAAACAGAAGUGCUUCUUAUUCUCAAGCAUAAGAUAAGUAAAUUAGAUACGGUCAAGUAAUACCUUAUUUCCAAGAUAACCCAUCAAUCCUCUGCCAACACAAGAUACUUUCAUGUUUUUAACAUGAUCUCUCAACUCGCUUCUCACCCAAAUUGUGAUAAAUAUACCAACCAUUUGCUUACUAGCCACUAAGCAGUACCUUGAAUGUCCAGGCAUCCUAUACCCCGGUUCAUUGGAUGCAGAUCCACCGUAGGACAUUGGCGAGUGCAAUACAGUACUUGGUGAUUCUGUGAUUCCAUUAUCAUCGUCUGAUGAACCCCAUCUGGAGUAAUCACUAGGUCUAGAGUAAUCGCUAGGCCGGGAGUAAUCACUGGGCCUAUUACCCCAUCUAUAACUAGAAUCAUAGUCACUUGGCCUAUGACCAAAUAUUACCCUAUCACAAACACUGAACCGCCUGUCAAGUCGUGGUUGUGGAAUCGAGGGAUCAUUGUCCAUUCUCCAACUGCUGGUUGUCUGGAACGAUCUGCGGUGAAAGAACGACGAAUUCUUCUGCCUAGAUGACCCUUCAAAAUCAGCAUCCAUCUCCACAAUAGGCUGAGGAACAGGAGAUGGUGUAUAGCAACCCACACCUCCACUUGUUCCAGGAAGAUUGUUAAGAGUCUUCCUAAUGAGAGACAACCAUUUUUUGGCCGGACCAUUGUCUUCUGCACCCAAAAUAUUCCCAGCAUUCAAAGGAACUAUCUCUUGAAACCUGUAAGAAAUCAAAGAGGAAACAAAUUAUUCUAUGAACAAUUCAAAGUUUGGUAAACAAGACAUGAAGAUCAAAACCGUCAAAACAUACCCAAGGACAUAUAUAUCUGCAGGAGAUGAUGCAUGGAGCAAAUCUUCUAGAUUCAAAUUACUCGGUGGCGAUCUUCCGGCCACAUUCCAUGUAGAUGCAAAAAUGCUGCUCCAAAGGACAAUAGAAGAACAGUUGGUACUCAUGCAUCACAAAAAAAAAAAACAUAUAAUUUUUUUAGGAAAAGCAUACCUAUAAUUUUCGACAUCUAUGAUUCGAGGGUGAUCAAGAUUCAUUCUCCCUCUCCGGCUCCGACUUUGCUCCGUGUUCCUACUAAAUUUUUCUGCAAAUCAUAGCAGCAUUUAGACAAUUAGUAGAAAAACAACAAAAUAGUCCCCAAAAAAAUUAGUGAGAUAAGAUUAGGAACCUGUUUUACUCUUUUUGAUUGUGCAUGGCUCCCUUUCUGAGAAGCUAGUCCUGUAUUCCACUUCACCUCCUGAAGAUUGAAAAACAAAAAAUCAAAGUUAUAUAUACAUGUUAUGAACCAGAACAGGAACUGUACCAACCAAAAAGAAUAAAAAUUGAAGUUACAAUGGAAUCAUUUUCAGGAUGCCUUGUCUGUUUUGAUGGGAAAUUGCAUGAAAAAGAGUACUUAAAAAUAGAAUCCAGGAAAAGAUAAAGCCUUGAAAUAACCAAGUAAUCCAUUCUAAAUAACUUAGCUUGGUCUGAACAGAUAAGAGGAAGAAUAUUCCCUUUCUUUUUUUGACAUGAAAGCUUGAGAUCCUAACUAUUUUUUUUAUGAAUACCAAGCAAUCACUGUGAAAAUUAACGCUCCUCAAAGUACUCACCUCCUCCACAAACAUGAUCAUCUGCUUGAAAAUCCUCAGUUUUGCUCUUGAUAUUGAACCAUUUUCUGACCAUCUUUUUGGACCAUGAGAGCUACACAAAAUGAAGGAAAUUUUAGUCAGUUAAAAACCUUCAAUUUUUUUGGUCUUUCACAAAUUUGAGAAUUGAAAACCAGAAAGAGAGAAAGAGGAAGAAAGAAAAGAAAAGAAAAACCUCGCUUUUCUUGGCUUUCCCAUCUCUCAUUGUUGGACUUUUGCUUCAUACACCUCCAAAUUUACUCUUUUUUACUAUUCCCGAAACUCUCAACUUGCUAACAAUCACCAAGAAAAAAAAAAGACUGUUGCUACUUACUACAACCCCAUAUAGGCAGCAAACUCCACCGAUCCUUCCCCGAUUUCAGGCCUUUUUAACUUAGAUUAAAAACAAGCUGAAUUAUUUGAUCCCAGAUAAUCUUCAACUAAGAAAACAAAUGUCCCAAGUCCCCUACCUUCACUUUCCUCAAAAUCAAAGGCUAAAGCUAAAGCAAAGAGAGCUAAACAUGAAAUGGGUUUGCCUUAGUUUCUUGUUCCCAGUAAGUGAAAGCAAAGAAACAAGCUCAAAAAACCCAGAAAACAUGAAGCUCCAACGACUAAUAUAAAAGAAAAAGAGAGAGAUAGAGACAACACUUUAAUGCUUGGAAAUAAUAUGAAGAGAAGGGAGAUUCUUGAAACUAUAACAAGACAAUGUGGGCAAACAUAAAGAGAAAGCAAGGGGAAGAAAGUCUAGAGAGAGAAAGCUCGUAAGACAAACACAAGCAAAGGCAAAGGCAAAGCAGCCCCUUCUCUCUCUCUCUCUCUCUCUCUCUGUCUCUUCCUUCUCUUUACUUUGUUAGAAAAAUAAAGAGAGCAGCAGAACACCUCGUUAUCAGUAAAAAAGCAAAGUAAUGAAAUUUUGAAUGGAAUAAAGUGCAAAAUAAAUAUAGAGAGAAACUCUGUCACACACUCUCUUGUUUAUGUUUGCUUUUUUUUUUUUAUGGAUUUUUUAAGAGAUUUAAAAAUUUAUAGAGAGGCUUUUAGUUCCAUCUAAUGUUACAGGCUAUUUCAACAUGAAUGAAGCAAAGAGGUAAUGUCGUUUUGUACUAUGUACUGUUAAAACGACAAGGGUUUAUGGUCAGCAAAGUGAUUGAAGGGCGGUUUCAAAUUUAAGCUGUCUUUGAAUCACUUUGGGUUAAUAUACUAUUUCGUAUGUGAGUUUAGGUUUAUUAUUCGAUUUGGUAUCCAGAUCAAAUAAUAUUACUUAAUUUAUUGAAUAUUUGAUAGGCGUAUUCUAAUAAAAAACUAAAAAAUACUUAAUUGGAAUUAAAAAUAAAAUUCAGGUAUAAAUUAAAUAUUGAAAUUAAGUUUAAGUGCUUAAUUUUGAAAAAAGAAUGAAGUAUCAAAUUGAAAAAAUUUUAAUUACCAUUUUAAAUGUUGAAGCCAGUUCUUAAAGAGAAGGAGAUAGGACUGUUAUGGAGCGAGGCUCUUUUAAAUUACAAAAACUAUGUGUAAGUCUAAUCAAAUAGCGAGUUGAGAUUAAAAAACAUUCUCAUGAGAGAUUACGAUUGUAUUUGAAUGAUAGAAAUAAAACGGAGACAAGCAUACAGGUAUUGCAUGUUCAUUAAUUGAUAGAGAUAUGCAUACACGAUUUCGGUUUUGUAGGAAUAUAGCUUAUGAGGACAGGAAGCAAGCAUCACUUUUUGCUCCCAGGGAAGCCCUUAUUCACGCUAAGAAAAGCGGUUGGGUAGUGAGAAUGAUCAGGAAAAACAGGAAGCUUCUAAACCAAACGAUAGAGACUAAGGCAGAAGGAGUAAACUGGAGAUAUAGGCCAUUGGUGGAGGACAUCAAGAGGCUGGGAAACGUAUGCUAUGAGGAAGAAGGAUUGGAAAUGACAACGCAGCUCAAUGAGGAAAAUUCAAGAUGCUCAACAUUUGCCUCUAAUUUCCAUACUAAUGUUGUUUUAAAUAAUAAAUUUAUUAUGAAUAAUAGCCUAUGAAACAUGUCUUGAUAUCAAAAGACUUAAAAACUCUCAGAAUCAUUUAUUGGUCUUUCAUCCAAGUAAAAAAAGCAAUUAAAGAAGGGUCAUCUGUCUUUGUAUCUGUAGAAAACUAGAAAUUUUGAGGUUUUUCAAGAUUCCCCGGAAAAUAUUUUUUCUGGGUUAAUUCCAUUAAAAUCUUCAUAUAUUUUAAAUUAGUCUUUGGACUUCAAAUCACUCUAAUUAAAUCCUUAAAGAAUCAGUAUAUAUCAACCAGAAUCUUCAAUCAAUUUAAUUUCAAUUUAGACAUUAAAUACAAAUACAUGGAUCAAAUUGUAAAUAUAUUUAUAAUUUAGUUCACGUCUUUAAUAUAUCUCUCCUAAAAAUUGAAUGGACUAAUUAUCAGAAUAGUCCGAUAUGGUACUGAUUGAUAUGAUAAAGACUAAAUUAAAAUCCGGGCCAUAGAAUAUUUGGUUGUUAACCAAUCUAACUAUUUUCAUUAAAUACAGGGUUUAAUGGCCUUGUAAUCAAAGGCAAAUGCCCCAGUCUCUAAGGUGUCACUGUUAUUUAUUCUUCAUCACUCACUCACCUACUACUUUUUUCUUUUUUUUUUUUGAUCGAAACACCUACUAUUUAAAUAGAAGCUAUUUUCAAUAGGACCACAUUUUUGGAUUUAUCUAAUCUGGGUUUUUUUUUCUAUUAAAUUUCAGCCACUUAUGAGAGCCAAAUGAGGAGCCUCUAGGGAAAAAAGUAAGCUUAAUUCUAAAUUUCUUUAAUGGUAGAGUGGAGGAGAUUUCUAAAGUCUCCGCCGUCUAGGGCGGCUCCUCGGGCCAUAAACAAUCCUUGAUUAUAUAAACUCCAAUUUUCUCUAUAUAUUUUUAUAUCAAAAAAUGCAGUCAAACAUGUGCUUCAUUUAAGAUUUUAAAGCUAUGUAUAUACAUAUAGUUUGCUAUUUUGACUAGUCUUGGCAAAGACUGCAUUUUAGAAUAUGGUUCACGGGCUUUUUUCUUUAUUGAGCCGACUGCUGAAGAACAUUCCAUAUGUUGGGAUUAGGGUUAUAAAUUGUGAACUCUUUUAUUUUUAUUUGUUUAUAUUUAAAUUUUUAUUACAUUAUUAUUAUAAAAAUAGAUUAUAAAUAUAGAGGUGGAAUAUUUUUCUUGUUUUCCAAAUGUAUCUAUCGGAAUGAGUUCAAUAAUUAAUCUUCUGAUUUUCUAGAUCCAUUAAGGAGUUAGAUGUUGACCACAAGAUUUAAAACUAUUUUAUACUCAGAGGGAAGAUCAAACUCUUAAUUCUUAGUUAAGGUAGGAAAAAUCCUUAUUAUCUCAUUUAACUCCAAUGAUAUAUAGAGAUAGAAUAUUAAAUCAAUAAUGUGAUGGGUUUAUUAAUGUAGUCAAGUUUGCAUUUAUGAAAAACCAAACCUUAUGAAAUGUUUUUGUAUAAUCACAAAACUAAUUUCAAACAUGGUGAUGAAAAUACCAAACAAACUAUUUUUUUGGUCACCAAAAAUGCAUUAAAGUUUUUAGUUCAAAUAGCAAUGAAUCAACAUAGAACGAUAGGAAAUGCUUGCACCCAAUUUUUUUUUCAAAGCAUGAAAUGAUGAGUGGACUUCCAUCUGUUCCAACAUCGUUCCAUUUAAUCGGUGGCAUAAGAUAAAAUUAUUUGACUCCAUGAAAUGGGACGUGAUUUCAGAUUUUAUGAUUAGAUAUUUUAAAAAUAAUUAUAAUUCGAUACUAAUUAUUUUUUUUAAUUCUACAAAUAAAAAUAAGAAGCUGUCAUAUAUAUUUUUUUUAAAAUUAAUAAUUUUAUGUUUGUUUUAUGAUUUAUGUUUGAUAUUUUUAACUAUCUAAUUCUAUUUAUAGAAUUAAAAAAACUUUGAAAUUUUAAUAUUAUAUUAAAUUUCUGAAAUGUUCUGUCGUAUUUUAAUGUGGGUCUCGUUGGGAAUCAUUUGAAGCAAUAAGGAGAAAAAGCAAAAAUUGAAUAAUACAAAGCAACAUGUAAAAAGUGAUUGCUUGUAUUAAAGACCAAAUGAAAAAAAAGAAGAAAGGGGCCAUAUUUGUGGUGUUUGGAUAUCUAAAGAUCAAAGGGAAUGACCCUACUUUGGGAAAUCCCUGUUUUUUGCAUUGACAACUUGUAAUUCAAUAUACAUAUUUUUUUUUAUAUUGUUUUUAAACAAUUUUAUUAUAAGUUUUAAUUUUUUUUGACACAAUAUUUAGAAUUAUCUAUAAUUCCUCCCCAACCUUUAAGUACGAGGAUUAUACGCUUCAGUGCACUCAAACUCACGUCUUUCUACACCAGCAACAAUAUCUAUACCAAUCGAGUUAAGACUCAACCGACAACAUUUUUAAAUAAAAUAGUUAAAAGUGUAAUACGUGUUUAAUAGAUUAUAGUAAAAUAAAUUAAAUAGAUAAAUGUUACAUAAUUAGUAGGGGUUUUGGUUUUAUUAAAAAUGAAAAAAUUGCUUAUACAAAUUCUUUAAUUUCAAAAAAAUCACAAAUUAAUAAAAUGAUAAAAUUAUAUUGUCACCUUUUAAAAUUUUUUAUUCGUUUUUAAACCUUAGAACAAUUUAUUGGCUUUUCCCUUUCCAUGAUAUAUAGAGAGAGAGAGAGAUGGUAUCUAAGGAACAAGCUUCUUUUGGAUUCAAGUAAAACAUGAUGAAAGAAGAAAUUGGAUGCAGCAUUUUUCUUUCUUGCCUUAAUGUAUGGGAGACAAAAAACACUAUUUGUUUAGUUAUUGACAUUUUUUUUUUACUUAUUUUGAUUUGUUUGUACAUAAAUGAAUUUUUUUUACUUAAAAUGUAAAAUUUAUUCUAGUAAUUUCAUAUGCAUAUAUGCUUAAUUUCCAUCCCGAGAACUUGCCCUUGAUGAAUUUGUUUUAAGGUGGAGUAUUAGUCUAAAUUCAAUUCAUUUGAUAUUUAAAAAUAUUUAAAUAAAUUAUUGAACAAUUUUAUUUUUUGACUUAUGGCAUAUUUGCUCAAAUUAGUUUAUUUUAUUAGUAGUAAUAAUAUAAAGUUUUAAUAGUGACAAAUUUUUAGAAAAAAAAAAAUCAAUCCUUCAUAAAAAUUUAUUGGUUUCUCAAAAAAUAAUAUUUUUUUUUCGUAAGAAUAUACAUAUUAUAUAAAAAUCAAUGUCACCUCACAAUAAAAGAGAAUCUUUAAUCCAUAAAAUCAUGAAUUGCAGAUAACACCUAAACCAUAUAAAAUCAUUUGGACAACAAAAAUUUGUUUAUCAAUAAAAAGAUUCUGAAAUUUUCAAUUAUAAAAAUAUUAAAUUUAACAUACAAAAUCGAAUCUAAAACUUCAAAAAAAUAAUUUUAUAAACAUAUAUCCAAAGUAUGACUUUCAUGUAAAUAAGGUAUUUGAGAAGGAAAAAUGAAGAACAUAAAGGGUUAAAAAAACAAUAAAGAAUGGGGAAGAAGAUUUUGUAUGCUUUAUGCUUUUUGUAUUUUGGUGGGUGAAUCUUAAGUUAAAGCCUUAAAGGCUAAAAUUAUUAUGAUUUACGAGGCAGUCAAAAGAGGGUUAGUAGUCGUUUUCUCUUUUGAGUUUUUUUAUUUUUUUUAUUUAAAUUUAUUAUUGGUGCUUUUUUUAUUUAUUGCCUUGAAAAGACUCCAUUCCCGUUGUUAUUUUUUAUUUUAAACUUUUUCUUUACCAAUGUUUCUUUAAGGUAUGGGUUUACGGCUCAUAAUAUGUCACUUUCUUUAGCAUGUGUCAUGGCUACAUGCAUGAUUAUAAAUAUGAUAUAAAAAUAUUAACAAAUGGUUGAGUGUAAUAAUAAAGUACAUUAUAUUUUUAAGGGAUGAUUCAGAUUCAAACUUUAAAAACGAUAUUAUUGAGAAGAACAGCCAUGAACCCCAAAUAUGAAUCAUAAAAUAAACAUAAAAAAUAUAAAUAUAUAUAUAUAAAUCAAUAAAUUGAUGAUUAAAGUGUAAUGACUCUAUCUUGUUAAGAUUAAGAAUGUAAAUUCGAAUUUCAAUAAAUGAAUUUGAUUUUUUUUAAUUUUAAAAACUUUGAAUCAGAAUUAGUCUCAAUUUUAAUAUCUUAAAAAGAACCGAAUAAAAAUCAAAUUGUUGUAACAAAACAAUUCAUUUGGCUUAAUGGUAUUGUUUUUGAUGAAAACACUAGAAAAUUAAAAUUCGAAUAUUAAAAUAACCAAAAGUAUAUGUGAUUAAAAUAGAAAUUAAAUUAUAAAUUAAAUUGAAUUGAAAUCAAAAGUAUACAAUAUAAUAUAUUAAAAGUAUAUAUUUUAUUAAAUGUAAGUUACAAAUGAAUUAAAAUUAUAAUUUUUUAACUUACAUUUCAUAAACCGUUCAAAUAUCUCAACUCAUGUCGAUUUAGCUUUUAACUAAUAGAAAAGGUAUCAAUAUAUGUAGUUAAUAAUAAAUGCCUCUUGAAUUUAAUUUUCAUUCAAGUAAAAUAAUUUUCUUUAUUUAUCCACUCUCUUUAUUAUUUUAAAUUUUCUUUAUUUUUCAUAACGGGAGGAGAAAUAUAUAUAUUUAUAUAAUUAAAAUUUUAAUUUUCUAAAUUAAAUUUUUAUGAAUUUGGAUAGAUUAUGCAUCCAUGAGACCAGAGCUAGCUCUGGAAUCUUGAAAUGAAUUGAUUAAAGUGAUGACUAUUUUGAUAUGGAUUGACUUUAAUAUAUAAUGAGAGUAUAUGUAUAUAUUGAUGACACAACUGGAAAAAAUGGGUCAGGAGAAACACACACCACUUGCUCUUCAAAUUUCAAACCUUCCAAAUUGGCUAUCAAAAUCAUUGAGUUUUCAGUCUUUUUCAACAUCAUGUCCCUCUCUAGUCUCUACCCGACUCUUUACUUCCCAUUUAUUUUUUCCUUUAAUCAGAUUUCCAUGGAUUCUUCUUUCUUACAUAUUUUGACUAUAAACUAUAAUUCCUUUUAUAUUACUAUAAGCAAAAUAUAAUAAGAUUUAUAUAUAUAUAUAUAUAUAUAUUUCCUUGACUUUUUAUUUCCUAUAGAAUAUUCUUUAACCUUAAUCCUACGUGAAGUUAAUCAUUUAUUCCAUGACUUUUUCAUUUCGUCGGGGAUUGGACAAAUAUUAGACUAUCCCAAAGGAGCUUACUAGUUCUUUAUAUAUAUUAAUUACUAGUUAUUUUCAUAUUAUAUCCCAGGCAUAGGAUAGCACCGACGGGCGAAUAUCUAAAAAUCUAUAUUAUAUGAAUUAUUAAUAGAUUAAUAUUUUAUUAAAUAUAAAAUAUUUUUAUCACAAUUACGAUAAAAGAAAUUUGUACAGAUAUAAUAAGGAUAAAAUUUACUUGCAAUAAUGAUGAUUUUUUAAAUUGCAUGGUUAAAUUAGUUAGGAAACUAGAGUUCAUUUGGUAUUCUAUCCACUAUUAAUAUUUAAGUGUUUUUUUAAUUCAUUAAACAGGGUUAAAAGCUUGAGGCUUGUCCUUGUAGUUAAAGAAGACAUGUAUUUUGGGGUUGUUUUUUUUAAAAAAAAAAAUAAAUUCCGACAAUAAAUGAUAAAAUAAUACAAUUUAAUUAUUAUUUUAAGAAAAUUGUUUUACGUUUUAUGUCAUUUUUAUUUCUUAUACAAAUCCUACUUUUAUUUAUUUGUAUUAUUUUUUUCCAACUAUUAAAUCGAAAGAAAACUCGUAAUUCUCAUUUUCGUUAUUAUGACAACACCACCAAUUGAACUAAAAGCUCGAUUAUGUUAUAUUAUUUUUACUUAAACUAAAGAAAAAGUAAUCAAUUAAUUCUUUCUUUGAUUAUAAGCUUAGUAUAUUAUCCACUUUCAGUCAACAUUUUAGUUCUAGCACUAGUAUGUUUUAUUUUAAAUAAUACAUAGAAUAUGCAUACAAAAUUAUUAUUUAGUAUACUGAUGUUAAGGUAUUUUCAACUUUUUUGAGUGAAGUUUUUAUGUUAUUGAUUGCAAAUCAAUAAAUCUCUUAACAUAUUCGGUACCCUUUUUAUGAGAUUUUCCUUUUCGACUCAAAGUUAUAGGUUUAAUAGACUGAAAACAUUUCGUCAAGUCGAACUGUAUAGGAGAUAUAAGAAAAUGUUAACAUCUGCUUCUACUUUGAAUUGAUGAUACUUCAAACGCUAUUAAAUUCUUAUAAACUUCACAAAUAGAAUAAAAAUCCAUCAUAUGUCUUCUUUUUUUUUAAAUAUAUGAAUAAAAAAUCCGUCAUAUGUUACAGUUAUUGGACCUUCAUCACCAAUGUACCAAAAUAUAUAUCACCUAAACAAUGGCCUAGAAGGCCCAUAACUUAAUCUGUGAAAACCCUAAAUUAGUCUAAAUAAUUUAGUCCACAAGUUACAGUCAAAGAUACUAUAAGCCCACAAUACUUUUUGAGGCUAACUUAUAUAACACUUGUACAUAUUCUUAAACAGAUCCAUAACCGGGAUUUCAAUACAUUGGGCUUAAUCCAUCUGAAAGUUCAUUUUUCCCUCAAAGCCGAACACAACCAGCGAGGCCUCUGGCUCUGGAGUCGGCGAAAACCGCGAAGUCAGGAGGAGAGAAACAAAGCCUCUUAGCAAAAGAAACCAGCGAUCCUUCUCAUCUACCGCAUAUUUCCUUGGUCUUCAUAUCUGUCUUAUGAUGUCUAUUUUCUUCGUCUUCUCAUUUCCUUUUGCAACUACAAACAACAAUUCUUAAUAUUCAAAAAUAAAAGAAAAAUGGCGUCUUUACUUUUUCGUCAACGAAGAGUUUCAGCUUUGGGUGUUUCCCGGAUUCUUCAAGGUUUGACUUUCAACCUUAUUUAUUUGAAAAGAGAAAAGGGAAAAAUUUUCCCACUUUUUGUUAUAGAUUCAUUGUGAACAUGUGAAAUUUGAUUAGAUAGAUGGAAUUCUUGAUUGCCCAUUUCUUAGUUUUUAUGCUUUACUUGUACUGUUCAAGUGUUUUUGGCAUUUGGUUAUUUGUAGCUAAUAGAGGAAAAGCUUAUUGCAGGAGCUUUUAUAAUAUGGAUAUUGGUGUAUGCUACUCAUUGCGUUUAGCAAAAUAAAAAUAAAAAGUUCUGGUUCAGUUUUGAUUUACAUUUUUUAAGUUAAAUGUUUCAGCUGUUAAUGGUGAUUCCUUUCGACUACAACCGGAAUCGAAUUGCAGGACAUUUGCUACCUUUGGUGUAAUAAUAAGGAAUUACAGCAGUGGAAAGGGUACUGCAAAGCUCGAUUUUACUGAUCUCACGUAAGAACUAUGUGACUUACAGCUAUUAAUAGUGAUUUGUUUGGCUUGGAUAGGCAUAGGCAGCCCUUUUUUUGGUUUCGAAUUAUGUUGGUUAAAAAUCUACAAUUUGAGGUUUGUUCCAAUUGUACCAUUUCAUUCUAGUUAUAGGAAUACAAAAUCUUGAAAGACAAUAGACUUUACAAAUAUAAAUGUCUAGAUUUUUAAAUUUGAUUAAUUAUCUGUAUUUUAGUUUCGAAUACUAAUUUUCUGGAUUAUGUAACUAAAGCAUACCUGUUUCCGUUCUCCAAAUUCGAAACUUAUUGGCUAUAAGUUUUUCUUCCUACAAGGUAAUAGUCCUUGUUCAAAAUUUCCAUUAAUUGGGAGAUUAUAAAAAAAGAAAGGAAGAUGUUUUCUGCUCACUGAAUUUUGUUAUGUAAUUUCUGUAUAUCAUUGGCAUUUUUGUGAAAUUAUUUUUUGAUUAUCUCAGCCGUCCUCAUACAUGGUAUCUUAAUGCUCGAAAAAAGCAACGUAAGGUUUUCUUGCAUGUAGGUCCGACAAAUAGUGGUAAAACAUACCAUGCUCUGAAGCGACUUGAAUCAAGUUCUUCUGGUAUAUUUACAAUGCUACUUUUACCAGGAAUGGCUACUUUUUUUUUUUUUUUAGUAGUCAGUGAAUGAUUGAACGGGAUUGAAACUGGUAAAAUAAACUGAAAAACUAUUUUCCAUUGGUUCAUUCCCUAUUCAGGUGUAUAUUGUGGUCCUUUAAGAUUGCUGGCAUGGGAAGUGGCAGAACGGUUGAACAAAGCGAGAGUUCCCUGUGAUCUAAUUACAGGACAAGAGAAGGAUGAAGUGGAUGGUGCAAAGCAUAAGGCUGUAACUGUUGAGAUGGCCGAUGUAACAUCUGAUUACGAAUGUGCCGUUAUUGAUGAAAUACAGGUAAGUCCAUAUUUAAAUGAAAGAUUCACAUACAAUAUUUACCAAGUUCACAAGUAACCUUGCUGUUAAUUAUUCUCUCAGUGUGCGUGCAGAUUUGUUAAACAUAAAAGUAUGAUUCUUGUGCAACUUAACAGAAACUGUUUUAAGCAUUUUCCCUUAAUGGCAAGUCACUUAGUUUCCAGUUAAAUUUCUCUUUCUAUGCAGAUGUUGGGCUGUAAGACUAGGGGUUUUUCAUUUACACGUGCCCUGUUGGGAAUUGCAGCAGACGAACUUCAUCUUUGUGGAGAUGCAGCUGCUGUUCCUCUUAUUCAAGAAUUAUUGAAAGUGACUGGUGAUGAUGUCCAGGUAAGCAAUCGUAUGGAAUUGCUGUUCUUCUAUAUAAUGCACUGUUGGAUAAGUAGAAAUAUUGUUUUUUUACCGGUAUUUGGUGUCUAGCGUCGCUGACUAGUCAGAAAAAAAACUUUCUUGUUGCGGCCAUGUUCAUGACCCACUUUUGAUAUAUCUUUCUAUAUUGUCGGUAUUUUGCAUCACAUGGUUUUCUAAUAUCCCAGGUCCGAUCUUAUGAGAGACUUCUACCAUUAGUUCCCUUGGAAGUUCCACUUGGUUCUUUUUCAAACAUAAGAACAGGUGAUUGCAUUGUUAGUUUUUCGCGCAAGGGGAUAUACAAAUUGAAGGUCAGUAGUGCUUGCUUUAUUUUCUCUUGGCUAACUACUGAUUUGUUUCAGUAUGUUAAAACAUUAGUUUUUCUUCUUACUAUUUUGUAAAAGAAAUUGAACAUGCUUUCUGAUUUCGCCAUCUUUCAUAGAAAAAAAUUGAAACUGGGGGAAAGCAUCUUUGCUCCGUGGUUUAUGGUUCAUUGCCACCAGAGACUCGGACAAGACAGGUAUCCUCUCUUUCUGGCUUUAAUUGAUCACCAAGUAUGUGUGUGUGACUGAUGGUAAUUAUAUUUUCAUUGUUGCUUGUUUAUUUAUUUAUAUUUGUUCAUUAUUAAUACGGCCUUUAGGAUUGCAGGCAAGGAUGUUUAAUGAUGCAAGCAGUGAGUUUGAUGUUCUUGUGGCCGGUGAUGCAAUUGGGAUGGGUCUUAAUCUGAACAUAUCUAGGAUAAUUUUUUCAACAAUGAAAAAGUUUGAUGGUCUGGAAAGGCGGGAUCUUACAUUACCAGAGGUCAAGCAAAUUGCAGGUUCCCCUUUCAUUUUAGCUGUACUUUGAAAUUUUAUUUCUAUAUGGACAAUGAACUUUUUUGGUCAAUUUUCUGUCUUAAGACAUUCACUAAGGGUGGUAGAAAAGUAUAACAAGAAUCCGCUUGCUCGAGUUGUCAACUGCCAAUUUUCUUAUUCCAUGGGGGCAGACCCUGUAAAGUUGAUAAAUUUUCAUUAGACGGCUUUAUAUUCUUGUAGGGAGAGCUGGUAGGUACGGUUCAAAGUAUCCCAUGGGUGAAGUGACCUGUUUAGAUGCAGAAGAUCUACCUUUGCUUCAUUCAUCGUUGAAAUCCGCCUCUCCUACUUUACAGGUGAUUGUUUUAUCACUAACUUUCCUAAAAAUACCGCCUGGAUCUGACUUGUUCCAUUUUCAAUGGACCUGAAUAAGCAGCUUUUAUAUUUAUUUGCAUAUUGGUUCAGCAUUUUUUGUAUCUUGACUCUGUCAUUUUUCCGACACAGCAAGCUGGAAUAUUUCCUUCCUUUGAUUUCAUUUAUAUGUAUUCACGUUUACAACAGAAAAGAGGUCUCUAUCAGAUAUUGGUAGGUUAUCUUGUGAUAUUAUUUCGUCUAUCUCCUUCCUCUCGUUUUUCCUUUUUUAGUGACAGCUAAAAUGAACCCAUUGAGGGUUAAAAAUAAUUCGAACCCCACUGCCCUGUAUUUGAUUGUUGCAGGAAGAUUUUCUCGAGAAUGCAAAACUAUCCGAGAACUAUUUCUUCGCUAACUGUGAAGAAAUGUUGGUAAGUUUAUUCAGUCAUGUUCCCUUUUACAAAUCAAAAUUUCUUGUCAGAUAACAAUAUCUCCGGUUAUGGAUAUUUAGCUUUUACAACAUGAAUCAAUGAGUGAUAAAAGGCUGUUUAUUGUCAUCAGAAAGUUGCUGCUGUUAUCGAUGAACUGCCUCUAAGUUUGCAAGAUAAGUACCUUUUCUGCAUCAGGUAACAUCUUUCAAUCUUGCUCCCUCCAACAACCCGAACUUUGUUAUUUGAGUUUGUCUGCUAGUUUUACCAAUGCAGUUUCGAGUUUGCUUAUUAUUAUUAUUAUUAUUUAUGAACUUGCUUGGAAUCAACUGGCUAACACAGGUAAAUCUUUGUGCAGUCCAGUUGACAUGGAUGAUGAAAUUUCAUCUCAGGGUCUAACACAGGUAAAUAUUUGUAUACAGUCUUGAUUAUCUUGAAUAUGGAAACUAACGGCUUUCUAUUCUAUCAUUGUGGAUCAGUUUGCCGAAAAUUAUGCAAAGAAAGGCCUCGUUCGUCUUAAAGAAAUAUUCUCACCUGGUUCACUUCAGGUGCCUAAAACGCAUUCUGCUCUCAAGGAGCUUGAAUCCAUUCACAAGGUAUGAGUUUGUUUUUCUCAUGCGUGGGGUGUAAGCUUCGGUUGAGUUUUUCAUUUGGAUGAAUCGUUUCUUAAUUUAUUGUUGUUUGCUCCAUCUGAAGGUGUUGGAACUCUAUGUUUGGUUGAGUUUUCGUUUGGACGAAUCGUUUCCGGACCACGAGUUGGCUUCAUCACAGAAGGCCAUCUGCAGUAUGUGAGUACCCUUUGCCAUACUUAAUCACUUGCUUUGCUUUCCAUUGUUAACCUUGCUAGUAAUGUUUUGGAUUUGUAGGUUAAUUGAGGAAUUCCUCGAAAGGCUUGGUUUCCAAAACCCAACAUCAAGAAAGUUAAAUUCAUUAAUGGCAAAAAAGAGAAGACAAUACCUCUGAUUAAAUGUAAACUACUAUUACCAUGUAUUUAUCCAUUAACCCCAUCACCCCGUUCGUUCCCACCCCAUAUACCUUUCUGUUUGUCAAACGGAUUUGUUAAAUUCAGACUCGAGAUCUCAAAGUUUUUCGAUGGAAAUUUCCUGUUUAUUUUUCCUUAGUUAAAUUACACUUGUAGUCGUCUAAUUUUGAGUAAUUAUGAGUAAUUUUUUUAUUGAUCACUUAUUUACGAAAGUUAUUAAAUGGUUAUCUAACUAAAUAUUUAAUUUUAAUAAUUUUAUUUUUUUUGUGACUGUUCACCUAAAAAGCUAACAAACAUAUUUAUCAACAAAAUUUAACUGAAAAUAUAUAAAAAAUGAAAACGCUAAAAAUCUAAAAUAAUAAUUUCUUUUUCAUAUUUUUUAAAAUUAACUUUUACACAUUGAAUAAAUAUUGAGAUUAUUUUUUUUGAAAAAAUUAAAAUUAAAAUAAAAUAAUUUAUAAAUAUUGAAAGUUAAAAUUGCAUGAUAACAAUUUUAAAAAUUAUCACAUUUAAUCGGGUGAUAAUUAAAAAUAAAUAAAAUAAUAUGAUAACUUUGAAAUAAUUAACAAAAAGAAUUUGCUAAUAAUUGAAUUAGUAGGAAUAGCUUUUUUAACUCAAAUCAUUUCAUUAACAAAAUGUAAAAUGGAGUUUCAUGGUAAUGAAAUAUUAACACAAUCAAAGUAUGAUAGUUACAUAACAAUAUCAAAACCUUUUAAUUUUAGAAUUCAUCAAGUGCUUCUUGCAACCACUCUUACGAGAAGGUAUUUUAUUAGGUCGGAAUUUGGGCUUCGGAGUUCAAAUCCAAACUGUCUGUAACCUCUUUUGUAAAAAAGAACUUUGGUUUUAGGUUACCGUUCGAGAAUCAUGGACUGUGAUGCGAGAAUCAUGGACCACGAGGCGAGACUAAACAUAAGCAAGUUGGCGUUUGGUCGUCCGGUAUCAUCCCUCCUCCUCUGCUUGUAUUAACAGCUUCUAGCAUUCUCACAACCUCAUCCAUUGCAGGACGUUUCUCCGGAUUCGCAUCCCAACAUUUUUUCAUGAUGUUCGCUAAAGAAUUCGGGCAGCAUCUCGGGAUAUCUGGUCGUAGAUUCUGCCGAUACACCAUGUAAAAUAGGUUUAAUAUCAUUUAACCAUAUACAUGUAAGCACAUACAGAAUAGCAAACAAGCAGAAUAACUCCACAUUAUUAACAAUGGUGAGAGCAACCGGAUACCAAGAUUAGGAUACAUGGAUCUUCUAUGCUUUACUGACGAAAUAGAAUAACAAGAAAACUAACCUGUCGAACAACAGCAGAUGACACAUCGGCAAAGCUAAGGUCCGGAUAAGGCAUAUCGCAGCAAUAAAUUUCCCACAAGCAAAUGCCAAAGCUGUAGACAUCACAUGUUCUGUUGUAGGGUUUACCUUCAAGAACCUACACCAUUACAGUUUACAGUUUAGCUUUCUUGUUUUAACAUGGAAAACAGGACCAAAUGUCUAGAAAAAAAUUACGUUCCCUCAAAUCCUCAUGCAAGGCCCGUUUGCAUAUCACAGAGAAAGGGAGGAUUAAUUCUUCAUAAGCUAAGUUUGCAAAUAAAUGAUUAAAGCUUUGAACUACUCAUGCUUUAUCAAUACAUUUAAGAAGGCAUACCUCAGGGGCCAUAUAGCCGAGAGUACCGGUUUCACCUGUCAUGUCUCGUGGAUUCUGAGCUUCAACGCGUGCAACACCAAAAUCUGCAAUUUUAAGGUUUCUAUGACCAUCUAGCAACAUGUUCUCUGUUUUGACAUCACGAUGUACAAUCUUUCUCGAGUGCAGGUAGCUGAGACUGCAAUUUGGAAUAAACAUAAUCGUCAGCACAAGAAAAAAAAAUUUACAGUCUCUCAAAACCAAUGAUAAGAUGCAACCCCUUACCCUCUGGCAAGGUCCAGAGCAAGUUGGACCACAAUCUUAAAUGCGAGUUUCUUUCGCCUAUUUCUUAUCAAGUAUUGUUUCAGUGUGCCACCAGGGAGAUACUCGACAACAACACAGCAUGCUCUAGAGGGAAGGGGAUUGUGAUUGUCAGCCGAAGGAUUUUUCGAAGGAAUCUUAAGGUUUGAAGUUCCCAUUGAGGCCCCUAUAAACUGUAACUCAAAAUUAAGUAGAAAAAACAUAGGUUACAACAGAAUUUUUUCAAAAAAGAUGAGGAACUUUAACAUUUUAACCUUUACCAAGUUGAGAAUAGCCUAAUUAUGCAAAGAGAUUGCAUAAAAUUUUCAGUUAGAAGGCCAAGAUUACAUUAAGCUUUUCGGUGUUAUGAUGAUUUUCAAUAAAUAAACAUUUCAAGGCAGAAAAAAAAGUUUGGACCUUUGUAACAUUAGGAUGAUCAAGCUUGUGCCAAACAGCAACCUCUUGCCGAAAUGAUGCUCGUAGAGCAGCAGUUUCAGCAGUUGUGGCGAUACCAUCCUCGCCCCAGUCCAGCAGCUUAACUACAAUAUCAAUAUAUAUGACAGCACACCGAGAGCUUGUAAUCAAUAAGAUGUCAGGAGGCUAUUAGUUCUACAAAUAGUCAAUAUUAUAAGAGAGCUGACUAAGACAAUUUCCCCAUAUCCUCCUAUAGAAACCCGAAAGCAUAACUCCUUACUACACCAAUCCUCGAGGUAACACUAGUCAUGUCCUCUACUAUAUUGUUUUUAAGUUCAGCAAAGGCUAAAAGGCCAGUGAGUGAGAAACUAUCAGCUCCUAUAAAGUCAGUACUCUAAACCAAACCAUGUUAGUAUUACUAAUCAUGACAGCAAAGAGAACUCCACUAAAGAUAUAAACAGCUAAAUUAAAUGAAACAAUAUUUAUAUAUAGCCACCUUUAUUUCGAUUGGCAGUUUAGCACACAGAUAUCUUAUAUAGCGGAACCGGCUUGCGCUCUACACAAAGGAUAGAGAUGGUCAGACCAAACAGGGACCCUCUAUCACCAUGCCUUAGGCCCUAAUUCAGUUCUACAUAAUGCACGUUGCUUCAACAUGCAGAAUAAACUACAAAGGGUCUUACUAAUCGAUAUUUUAACUCGAAAAACUAUCAAUACAAAGUUCAAUCACAAUUAACACACACACACACAUAUAUAGAUUAAGAAAUAACAAAACAUAAUUUUUAAAGCUGCAUCAAGCAAACAAGUUACAAAGCUUAAGAACUAAUAUAGAUAAUACAAGUAUAUAUAUUUAUAUAGAAUCUGAAAAUUUACCUGCAACAUCUUGAUUAUCAUAAGUGGCACGAUAAACAGUCCCAUAGGUGCCAUGAGCUAUAACAUUCCUUAAAUCCAACUUAGCCAAAUCAAUCUCCCAUUCCUCAGCUAGCCUUUGUUUCUCAAUGUUCCUAGACCAAACUCGGCUCAGGUGCUUCUCCAGCUGCAUGUCCAGGCUUUUUAAAUCAAUUUGAUCAGCUCUAAAGAUCAUGUCUUUGCCACUAAUGCUUCCAUUGCCCUUCAUCUUUGAAUUUCCACCUCCUUCUAGUCCAUCUUGUCUCUUUGGUGCUUUGAUACCAUUAUCUUCCUCACCAGUUUUCAAAUCCAUAGUUAAAAGAAUAUAACAAAAUCACCAAAUAAAAAAACACAAUUAAAGACCCUUAAACUGCAAAACUGAUAAUAACAACGGAAUUUAAACUAAGAUUAAAAAAUAAGUUGCAAGAUUCUCCAAUUCAGGACAAGAGGAUAAAUAUCAAUCAAAUAUACAUAUGAUCGGAUAAAAAAACCCUGUUUACCAACCCCAAAUCCUAUUAUAAUCCUGUAUUCAAAAUUGAACUUAUGACCCAAAUUUUAUGAUUUGCAUUUAAAAAAAAAUAAGUAAACUGGAUUUUUGUUUAGACCAGAAUUUAGAGAAACCUGGUAGCUUUAACAAAAAAACAAAAUCUUUAAUGUCACCAACUAAUUAAAUAAUUCUAAACGGAAAAGAACAAAAACCCCCAAAAAAAGAAAAACAGAAGAGAAAGUAAACCCUAAGAAAACGACCCAAUCCCCACCAUUACCCGAAAUGAAUGAACCAGAAUUUAAAUUAUAAAAAAAUUAAAUGAAAAUUUUAACUAAAACCCAAGAAAGAGAAACAGGCAUGCAAAGUAGAGUAAGCAAAACAGAAUAACAAAAUAGUUUUUUUUAUUAAUUAAAAAAACCAUUUAAAAGAAGUUUUCGAAAGAGAAAUUCAGGACGAAAAGGUUGACUUAAAAUUAAAUUCUAUAAGAACUUGAAGAAAAAGGGAACAGAAAAAAGAAAAGAGGUCGGUGGUGGUGUCGUUAAUUGAAUUGUUUCGAUUAUCAAAACAACAAAAAAAAAUUAAAGGUUAAUGAAAAGAUAAAGAACCGAGAGAAAUAGUUAAAAAUUAUCUCUUUUUUUGCGGCUGAAAAAAGGAAUGGGUUUUUUUAAGGUAGAGAUUAACGGAAAGGAUAAAUAAAACUAAUAGAAGGAAAACAAAAUUGAAGAAUUUAAUUGGAUUUGGAUAAGAAUUACAGGGUAAAUCGCAUUAUUAUAAAAAUAUUAUUAUCCUUUAAUCUUGUUACAUGACACCUUAAGUGUAUCACAUGUUAAAAAAAUGUUUUUUUUAAUAUUAAAUUAUUUACUAUUUAUUUUUUAUUUUUUUCUCUCUUUUCCUCCUCUUCUUCUUAUCACCUAUUUUGAUUUUUAGAGGAAAAUCCUGCAUUUUAAGGCAUAUGACAGUUAUUUUUGUCUGAUUUUGUAAUUUAUAUAUAUACACACAUGUACUUUUACAGGGUUGUGAUUUUGGGCAUUUUUAAGGUAAAUGUCUACUUUUUUUACCUUUUAGUAUGCUUUUUACUUCCUUAUGGUCAGUGCUGCAAUUUGAGCAUCAUCAUGGGCAGAUUAAUUAAAAGGAAAAGAGAAGUUCUUGGGGUUUGAUUGUUGAAAACAAAAAAAGUUUGAAUUUUUUGAUGUAGAAAUCUCAUGCUGGAUGCAGACUAGUGAAAAACAAACAACAAUUUUGAGAAUCAGGUACUUAUAAGCAGCUUUGAAUCAAGACAUUCAAUAUUUUGACACUGGAAUUAGAACAUCUAAUGUUGUUUUUGCUAUCAACACUAAUAUUGUUAUGGUCAAAGAUGGUAAUAGUGAUAAGGUAUUCAUAAAGUUUUUAUCUUUUUUGGUCUCUAUGAGGUAAAUUUGAACA
rnacentral:lncRNA from 1 species